GGGAUAGCUCAGUUGGUAGAGCAGAGGACUGAAAAUCCUCGUGCC
rnacentral:tRNA from 1 species